rnacentral:rRNA from 1 species
AUGCCACCUCCGACCCCAAGAACCAAGCGACGGGACGCGGCCAGGCUCCUCCUCCUCGCCACCCUCCUCCUCCUGCUCCUCACAUUCCUCUUCGCCCAGAGCGCAUUCGCCGCCGACGACCACCACGCACGCACGCUCCUCGACGCCAAUGCGGAAGCGGGCGCCGACGCCGAGCACGCGGCGGCCGUGGACCGGCAUUGCGCGGAGAUGCUGCACCGGGACGUGUGCGUGUCGACGCUGGCGGGCAUCCAGGGGCUCGCGCGGAAGCCGCUCGGGGACGUGAUCUCGGAGGUGGUGGAGCGCGCGGCGUCGGCGGUGCGCGCUGCCGCGUCCAACUGCACGUCCUACCUCUCCCGCCCGCACCGGCUGCGCCUGCGCGACCGCCUCGCGCUGUCCGACUGCCAGGAGCUGUUCGGGCACACGCUGAGCCAGCUCGGCACGGCGGCCGACGAGCUCUCGGCCGGCAACCGCAGCGCGGAGGACUCCAUCGCGGGCGUGCAGACGGUGCUGUCGGCCGCCAUGACGAACCAGUACACCUGCCUGGAGGGGUUCGCGGGGCCGUCGGCGUCGGAGGACGGGCGCGUGCGGCCCUUCAUCCAGGGCCGCAUCUACCACGUCGCCCACCUCGUGUCCAACUCGCUCGCCAUGGUCCGCCGCCUCCCGCAGCGCCGCCGCGGGCGCGCCCUCCGCGCGAGGACCACACGAAGCGAGGCGUUCGAGGGGUACGGGCGCGUGCGGCGCGGGUUCCCGGCGUGGGUGGCGGCGGCGGACCGGAGGCGGCUGCUGCAGCAGCAGCAGGGCGAGGGCGUCGUCGGCGCCCCGGACCUGGUGGUGGCCAAGGACGGGAGCGGCAACUUCACGACGGUGGGGGAGGCGGUGGCGGCGGCGCCCAACAACAGCGCGACGCGGUACGUGAUCCACAUCAAGGCCGGGGGCUACUUCGAGAACGUGGAGGUCGGGGCCGAGAAGACCAACCUGAUGCUCGUCGGCGACGGCAUGUGGAGGACCGUCAUCAAGGCCAGCCGCAACGUCGUCGACAACUACACCACCUUCCGCUCCGCCACGCUAGCGGUGAUUGGGACGGGGUUCCUGGCGCGGGACCUGACGGUGGAGAACGCGGCGGGGCCGGCCAAGCACCAGGCGGUGGCGCUGCGGGUGAACGCGGACCUCUCUGCCUUCUACCGCUGCAGCUUCGCGGGGUACCAGGACACGCUCUACGCGCACUCGCUCCGCCAGUUCUACCGUGACUGCGACGUCUACGGCACCGUCGACUUCGUCUUCGGAGACGCCGCCGUCGUGCUCCAGAACUGCAGCCUCUACGCGCGCCGCCCGGGCCCCGGCCAGAAGAACGUCUUCACGGCGCAGGGCCGCGAGGACCCCAACCAGAACACCGGCAUCGCCGUGCAGGGCUGCAAGAUCGCCGCCGCCGCCGACCUUGUCCCCGUGUUGUCGAACUUCUCCUCCUACCUCGGCCGGCCGUGGAAGACCUACUCCCGGACCGUGUUCAUGCAGUCCAAGAUGGAGAGCCUGGUGCACCCGCGCGGGUGGCUCGAGUGGAACGGCACCUUCGCGCUCGACACGCUCUACUACGCCGAGUACAUGAACCGGGGGGCGGGCGCCAACACGUCGGCGAGGGUGGCGUGGCCGGGCUACCGGGUGAUCACCAGCGACGCCGACGCCGGCAACUUCACCGCGCAGGCGUUCAUCCAGGGCGACCUCUGGCUCAACUCCACCUCCUUCCCCUACACGCCGGGCCUCGGAUAG